GAUGAACGCUGACAAAAUGCUUAACACAUGCAAGUCUUUGGCGAAGCUGUGCUUGCACAGCCUAGCCAAGGCGGACGGGUGAGUAACGCGUAAGGAACUUGCCCUGCAGUCAGGGAUAACAGACGGAAACGACUGAUAAGACCUGGUAAAGUCAGGCGGACUCAUGUCCAGCCUGAUGAAAAGAGAUGCUGCAGGAGAGCCUUGCGUCCUAUUAGCUUGUUGGUGGGGUAACGGCCCACCAAGGCGAUGAUAGGUAGCCGGCCUGAGAGGGUGGACGGCCACAAGGGGACUGAGAUACGGCCCUUACUCCUACGGGAGGCAGCAGUGGGGAAUAUUGGACAAUGGGGGCAACCCUGAUCCAGCAAUUCUGUGUGCACGAUGAAGGUUUUCGGAUUGUAAAGUGCUUUCAGCAGGGAAGAAAAAAUGACGGUACCUGCAGAAGAAGCGACGGCUAAAUACGUG
rnacentral:rRNA from 1 species